CUGGACCCCUGUCGCAGAUUGGGCUCCUGCACCCACCCGAUUAGCGCGCCGUACAUAGGUCAGCUGUAAUCUAAUGGCUAUGAGCAUUGUAAUCCAUCUUCGACCACAACGUUUGAAUGUUCAGAGGGAAAAUAAAACUAUUAAAAAUAGAGACUGAUGUGUGUUCAGUUAUUUUAUUAAACAGUCUGCUGAAAUUUUUAGGCAGUCUUGGCAGCCCGGGUACGUUUUUUCUUCACCACAACGGGUUUCUGGCUCCUCAAGAUAGCACUUGCACGACGAAGAGCAGCCUAAGAAAAAUCACAGAGGAGACAACUGAAUAGAUCUGUAAAUCGUAUUACAUAAACAUUAAAAACACAGAAUGUGCAACAACCCCCCCCCAAAAAAAAACACCAUCAUUGGCAAGAUAUAUGCAUGAAGUAGAGACUUGCGUUUUACAUGGUUGUGCACAGGGGAUAUAUAGAUGAGAAAUGCACAAUAUAGAAAUGUACAAUAUUUAAACAAUGCAUAAAGCUGCUGGAUGGACAGUAAAGGCCGUAUCAGAUGCUCUCAUGUUCAGGCAGGACGAGUGCCGAUGGACAGUAAACACGAUCGGCGCUCGUUAGCAUUGGCCUACUACAAAGGCCGAUUAAAAGUGGAUGGGAGUCUAAGGAAUGUGCUACCAAAUUUGUUAGUCCCCCAUUCAGUCCUAGGGAUUAUCAGCAGCACAUCCCUGAUUACACAGGACUAAGUACUGACGGUAAUCAUUCUGAUGAAAGAUGCAAAUCAGAAACGUUUGCUCGUUUAUCGGAGGCGCAAUUACAUGGGCCAAUCAUCAACUAGUGUAUAUCGUCCAGUCUAAUAGAGGCUUAACUAAUACAAAUCUAAAACAUAAUAGCAGGUACUGUGAUC